ACGGGUGAGUAACGCGUGGGUAACCUGCCCUGUACAGGGGGAGUAACAAUCAGAAAUGACUGCUAAUACCGCAUAAGACCACAGCACCGCAUGGUGCAGGGGUAAAAACUCCGGUGGUACAGGAUGGACCCGCGUCUGAUUAGCUGGUUGGUGAGGUAACGGCUCACCAAGGCGACGAUCAGUAGCCGGCUUGAGAGAGUGAACGGCCACAUUGGGACUGAGACACGGCCCAAACUCCUACGGGAGGCAGCAUG
rnacentral:rRNA from 1 species